rnacentral:lncRNA from 1 species
GAGAUUUUCAAGCACAUCUAGGAAGUAUUUCAAAAGGUAAUUUAGGAAAAAUUUCAAAAGAUAAUCUUUAGGCCCUUCACAUGCUCCUAUCUUCCAGGUUCUGGAAGCAGCUAUCGCAAGUGCUUAAAUGUUCCUCCUGUGACUCUGUGACUGUCCAAAGUCCCUGUUUCCAGUUCAGCUUUCUUUGAAAAGCCCUUGAGCUUUAAUAUCACCAUCAUGCCUCAUUAAAACUCCUAUUCACUGGGUGCAGAAGACUGCUUAUUACUGAAAGUAAUUUGACUAAAACAUAAAUACUGCAAAAUCUGUCUACAUACGUCUCUUUGAAACAACCUGAACUCUUCUCUCAAUAUAAAAUUGAGGUGAAAUACCAAAUUAAGGCACAUGGGUCCGUUAUUGCCAAAGUGAUGGAUUUCCUGACAACCAUUCCACCCAGAAGAUUUUUUUUCCCAGAACUAAUAAUCCCAUCCCCGUUGCUGGUGAUUAACUUAAUAACGAGCAUGACAAUCAACAAACAGAUUGAAAAGGCAACCUACUCAGAAUGGGAGAAAAUAUGAAACCAUAUACCAGAGAUGAAAGUAAUAUCCAGAAUAUAUAAAGAAUUCCUACAACUUGAUAACAAAAACACCCCAAUCUAAAAAUGGACACAGAAUUUAAAUAGACAUUUCUCCAAUGAAGAUGGCCACCACACAUGUGAAAAGAUGCUCAACAUCACUAAUCAUCAAGGGAAAUGCAAAUCAAAACCACAAUAGCACAAUGAGAUAUCAUUUCAGACCCCGUAUGAUGUUAGGAUGGCUACUUUCAAAAAAACAGAAAAUAAGUGUUGGUAAGGAAACACCUGCACACUGUUGAUGGGAUUAUAAAAUGGGCAGCCACUAUGGAAAAUAGUAUGGAGGUUCCUAAAAAAACUGCAAUUAGAAUUCCCAUAUGAUCCAGUCAUCUCCUACUGCAUAUAUAUCCAAAAGAAUUGAAAGCAGGAUCUUGAAAAGAUAUCUGCUCUCCUAUGUUCAUGCAGCAUUAUUCACAACAGCCAAGAUGUAGAGGUGAUUCAAAUGUCCAUCAGUGAAUGAAUAGAUAAAGAAAUGUGGUAUAUACAUACAAUGGAAUCUUAGCCUAAAAAAGAAAGAAUUCCUGUCAUAUGCUACAGCAUGGAUGAACCUUGAGGACCUUAUGGAGCGGUCCUAAUCUGCAUAUCCAAGAGCAAUGUAUGUGAACCUACGUUUCCACAGCCUCACCCACAGAAUGUGUGCUCAAACAUUUGGAUUUUUGCCCAUCUACUAGGUCAGCAUUUUACCUAUGGAUGGCAUUUUCUAUUUUCGGUGACGGACUAUGAGCCAGGAUAAACACAUUACUCUCUUCUUUAACAAAAAGAGCAUGGUUAACUCCAAAGACUUCUCUAGACCAGCCUGGAUGGUACCUAAACUUUAAUCAACCAAUGCUCAAGUAAAAGAGCAGUAUCCAGCCCCAGCACACCUAACUGUUUUGCAUAACAUAGUCUCUGAUUUCAGGAGCAGAAGAAAAUAUAUAAGAAGAGAUUUACCUGGGUAACGGUUAAGUUUCCCAAUCUCCAUCGUACAUAAUAUCGAAUAGGAAUCACAAGUGUGUAGAGGACAUGAAGGAAGGCAAAUCCCAGAGCUACCAAGCCAAGCUGCUUUCGGCAAAGCAUCCAGUGGUCAAGCCAGUCUGGGAAUCGACGGUAUUUUGUGCCUCGGUACAGUUGUAGAAUGGCAGCAAUAACACCAGGGAGGUAAACCAAAGCAAGCAGUUGCUCCUGACUGGAGAGCCCAGGCUGAGAUGGUGUUAAAUGCUUUUACCACGUGGGCUCCUGGCACCAAAUGAGCAAGAUCUCACCCCACAGGCCUUGGAAACCUGAGGCAGUAUUCUUCUGGGAUGUUUCCAACUAGGCUUCCCAUGAGGAUGUUAGAGCCAGCCUGGCUGGUGAAUUUUACUUCUCUCACCUCUCAGAGGGACAUGGAUGAAAUUGGAAAUCAUCAUUCUCAGUAAACUAUCGCAAGAACAAAAAACCAAACACCGCAUAUUCUCACUCAUAGGUGGGAACUGAACAAUGAGAACACGUGGACUCAGGAAGGGGAACAUCACACUCUGGGGACUGUUGUGGGAUGGGGGGAGUGGGGAGGGAUAGCAUUGGGAGAUAUACCUAAUGCUAGAUGACGAGUUAGUGGGUGCAGCGCACCAGCAUGGCACAUGUAUACAUAUGUAACUAACCUGCACAUUGUGCACAUGUACCCUAAAACUUAAAGUAUAAUAAUAAAAAAAAAUCUGUGAAGAACAGAGACAG